AGUGGCUCUAAGAGAAUCCGGGCCAUGUUACCCUCUAUGCAAACGACUGCACCCCUUUCUGGUGACAUGUCAUCACCCAAACCUGAUGUAGGGGACUCCGGUGUGGAAGGAGCUAUCAAGUUAAUGAUUUUGGAUGCGAUAAUUCUGUUCCUUCACUGGAUACGAUAAUACUGAAGAGGCGGAAGAAUCGGUUGACCUUAUAAGUUUUACAACAGCAACUGAUAUCACUGUUGUUGUUGUUGUGAUGGUGGUGUUGAGUUACAAAAAGAGAUUUUUUGUUUCCAUGCAAAAGCUUAGAAGUAGCAACAGUUUUCGUGAGAAUUACAAAAAUAAUCAUUUUGUUUAACAACUUACCGAGUUU